CCUACGGGAGGCAGCAGUGAGGAAUAUUGGUCAAUGGGCGUAAGCCUGAACCAGCCAAGUCGCGUGAGGGAUGAAGGUUCUAUGGAUCGUAAACCUCUUUUAUAAGGGAAUAAAGUGUGGGACGUGUCCUGUUUUGUCUGUCCCUUAUGAAUAAGGAUCGGCUAACUCCGUGCCAGCAGCCGCGGUAAUACGGAGGAUCCGAGCGUUAUCCGGAUUUAUUGGGUUUAAAGGGUGCGUAGGCGGCCUUUUAAGUCAGCGGUGAAAGUCCGUGGCUCAACCAUUAAAUUGCGGUGGAAACUGGGAGGCUGGAGUGUGUGUGAGGCAGGUGGAAUGCGUGGUGUAGCGGUGAAAUGCUUAGAUAUUAGGAAGAACCCCGAUUGCGAAGGCAGCUUGCUAAGCCAUGACUGACGCUGAUGCACGAAAGCGUGGGGAUCAAACAGGAUUAGAUACCCGAGUAGUC
rnacentral:rRNA from 1 species